rnacentral:rRNA from 1 species
UACGUAGGGGGCAAGCGUUGUCCGGACUCAUUGGGCGUAAAGAGCGUGUAGGCGGCCAGGUAGGUCGGUUGUGAAAACUGGAGGCUCAACCUUCAGAGGUCGACCGAAACCAUCUGGCUAGAGUCCGGGAGAGGAGAGUGGAAUUCCUGGUGUAGCGGUGAAAUGCGCAGAUAUCAGGAAGAACACCCGUGGCGAAGGCAGCAAACUGGUCAUCAACUGACGCUGAGGCGCGAAAGCGUGGGUAGCAAACAGG